GACGUAGGGCGCGAGCGUUGUCCGGAUUUAUUGGGCGUAAAGAGCGUGUAGGCGGCCCGGUAAGUCCGCUGUGAAAGUCCAGGGCUCAACCCUGGGAUGCCGGUGGAUACUGCUGGGCUAGAGUACGGAAGAGGCGAGUGGAAUUCCCGGUGUAGCGGUGAAAUGCGCAGAUAUCGGGAAGAACACCUAUGGCGAAGGCAGCUCUCUGGGACGGUACUGACGCUGAGACGCGAAAGCGUGGGGAGCGAACAGG
rnacentral:rRNA from 1 species